rnacentral:rRNA from 1 species
ACUCCUACGGGGAGGCAGCAGUGGGGGAAUAUUGGCACAAUGGGCGCAAGCCUGAUGCAGCCAUGCCGCGUGUGUNAAGAAGGCCUUCGGGUUGUAAAGCACUUUCAGUCGUGAGGAAGGUAGUGUAGUUAAUAGCUGCAUUAUUUGACGUUAGCGACUAGAAGAAGCACCGGCUAACUCCGUGCCAGCAGCCGCGGUAAUACGGAGGGUGCGAGCGUUAAUCGGAAUUACGUGGGG